rnacentral:rRNA from 1 species
AAAGAUAGCCAUGCAUGUCUAAGUAUAAGCAAUUAUACCGCGAAACUGCGAAUGGCUCAUUAAAUCAGUUAUCGUUUAUUUGAUAGUUCCCUACUACUUGGAUAACCGUGGUAAUUCUAGAGCUAAUACAUGCAAAAAACCGCGACUUCGGAAGCGGUGUAUUUAUUAGAUUAAAGACCAAUGCCCUUCGGGGCUGACUGGUGAUUCAUGAUAACUUCUCGAAUCGCACGGCCUUGCGCCGGCGAUGGUUCAUUCAAAUUUCUGCCCUAUCAACUUUCGACUUUAGCGUAGUGGGCUAAAGUGGUUACAACGGGUAACGGAGGGUUAGGGCUCGACCCCGGAGAAGGAGCCUGAGAGACGGCUACUACAUCCAAGGAAGGCAGCAGGCGCGCAAAUUACCCAAUCCCGACACGGGGAGGUAGUGACAAUAAAUACUGAUACAGGGCUCUUUUGGGUCUUGUAAUUGGAAUGAGUACAAUUUAAAUCCCUUAACGAGGAACAAUUGGAGGGCAAGUCUGGUGCCAGCAGCCGCGGUAAUUCCAGCUCCAAUAGCGUAUAUUAAAGUUGUUGUGGUUAAAAAGCUCGUAGUUGAACCUGGGCCUCGCGCAGACCGGUCCGCCUCACCGCGUGCACUGGUCCUGCCGGGGCUUUCACUAGGGGAUUCGCAUGCCCUUCACUGGGCGUGCGCGGAACCUGGACCUUUACUGUGAAAAAAUUAGAGUGUUCAAAGCAGGCCUAUGCUCGAAUACAUUAGCAUGGAAUAAUAGAAUAGGACGUGUGGUUCUAUUUUGUUGGUUAUGGGACCGCCGUAAUGAUUAAUAGGGACAGUCGGGGGCAUCAGUAUUCAAUUGUCAGAGGUGAAAUUCUUGGAUUUAUUGAAGACUAACUACUGCGAAAGCAUUUGCCAAGGAUGUUUUCAUUAAUCAGGAACGAAAGUUAGGGGAUCGAAGACGAUCAGAUACCGACGUAGACUUAACCAUAAACUAUGCCGACUAGGGAUCGGGCGAUGUUACUUUUUGACACGCUCGGCACCUUACGAGAAAUCAAAGUUUGUGGGUUCCUGGGGAGUAUGUGCAACGCUGAAGUUAAAGAUAGAA